rnacentral:rRNA from 1 species
UACGAAGGGGGCUAGCGUUGCUCGGAAUCACUGGGCGUAAAGGGCGCGUAGGCGGAUUUUUAAGUCGGGGGUGAAAGCCCAGGGCUCAACCCUGGAAUUGCCUUCGAUACUGAAGAUCUUGAGUUCGGGAGAGGUGAGUGGAACUGCGAGUGUAGAGGUGAAAUUCGUAGAUAUUCGCAAGAACACCAGUGGCGAAGGCGGCUCACUGGCCCGAUACUGACGCUGAGGCACGAAAGCGUGGGGAGCAAACAGG